rnacentral:rRNA from 1 species
GACGAACGCUGGCGGCGUGCUUAACACAUGCAAGUCGAACGAAGUGGCGAACGGGUGAGUAACGCGUAAUCAACCUGCCCUUCAGAGGGGGACAACAGUUGGAAACGACUGCUAAUACCGCAUACUGAAGGAGGGGAUUGCGUCUGAUUAGCUAGUUGGAGGGGUAAAGGCCCACCAAGGCGAUGAUCAGUAGCAGGGCUGGGAGGAUGAACGGCCAAAUUGGGACUGGGACACGGGCCAGACUACUACGGGAGGCAGCAGUGGGGAAUCUUCCGAAAUGGACGAAAGUCUGACGGAGCAACGCCGCGUGAGUGAUGACGGCCUUCGGGUGGUAAAGCUAUGUUAAUCGGGACGCGGUACCGGAAUAGAAAGCCACGGCUAACUACGUGCCAGCAGCCGCGGUAAUUC